GACGAACGCUGGCGGCGUGCCUAAUACAUGCAAGUUGAGCGCUGAAGGUUGGUACUUGUACCAACUGGAUGAGCAGCGAACGGGUGAGUAACGCGUGGGGAAUCUGCCUUUGAGCGGGGGACAACAUUUGGAAACGAAUGCUAAUACCGCAUAAAAACUUUAAACACAAGUUUUAAGUUUGAAAGAUGCAAUUGCAUCACUCAAAGAUGAUCCCGCGUUGUAUUAGCUAGUUGGUGAGGUAAAGGCUCACCAAGGCGAUGAUACAUAGCCGACCUGAGAGGGUGAUCGGCCACAUUGGGACUGAGACACGGCCCAAACUCCUACGGGAGGCAGCAGUAGGGAAUCUUCGGCAAUGGACGAAAGUCUGACCGACCAACGCCGCGUGAGUGAAGAAGGUUUUCGGAUCGUAAAACUCUGUUGGUAGAGAAGAACGUUGGUGAGAGUGGAAAGCUCAUCAAGUGACGGUAACUACCCAGAAAGGGACGGCUAACUACGUG
rnacentral:rRNA from 1 species